UGGGGAAUCUUGCGCAAUGGGCGAAAGCCUGACGCAGCGACGCCGCGUGAGUGAUGAAGGCCUUCGGGUUGUAAAGCUCUGUGGGGAGAGAAGAAUAAGUGCGGGCUAAUACCCCGCAUGAUGACGGUAUCUCCUUAGCAAGCACCGGCUAACUCUGUGCCAGCAGCCGCGGUAAGACAGAGGGUGCAAACGUUGUUCGGAAUUACUGGGCGUAAAGGGCGCGUAGGCGGCUCUUCAAGUCAGCCGUGAAAUCUCCGGGCUUAACCUGGAAGGGUCGGUUGAUACUGUCGAGCUAGAGUGUAGAAGAGGCAACUGGGAUUCCGUGUGUAGCGGUGAAAUUCGUAGAUAUCGAGAGGAACACCGGUGGCGAAGGCGGCCAACUGGACGAAUACUGACGCUGAGACUCGAAAGCGUGGGGAGCAAACAGGAUUAGAUACCCCCGUAGUCCCUGAGCGGGCUGGCAAGGCGCAU
rnacentral:rRNA from 1 species